UAGGGAAUCUUCGGCAAUGGACGGAAGUCUGACCGAGCAACGCCGCGUGAGUGAAGAAGGUUUUCGGAUCGUAAAGCUCUGUUGUAAGAGAAGAACGAGUGUGAGAGUGGAAAGUUCACACUGUGACGGUAUCUUACCAGAAAGGGACGGCUAACUACGUGCCAGCAGCCGCGGUAAUACGUAGGUCCCGAGCGUUGUCCGGAUUUAUUGGGCGUAAGGCGAGCGCAGGCGGUUAGAUAAGUCUGAAGUUAAAGGCUGUGGCUUAACCAUAGUAGGCUUUGGAAACUGUUUAACUUGAGUGCAAGAGGGGAGAGUGGAAUUCCAUGUGUAGCGGUGAAAUGCGUAGAUAUAUGGAGGAACACCGGCGGCGAAAGCGGCUCUCUGGCUUGUAACUGACGCUGAGGCUCGAAAGCGUGGGGAGCAAACAGGAUUAGAUACCCUGGUAGUCCACGCUGUAAACGAUGAGUGCUAGGUGUUAGACCCUUUCCGGGGUUUAGUGCCGUAGCUAACGCAUUAAGCACUCCGCCUGGGGAGUACGACCGCAAGGUUG
rnacentral:rRNA from 1 species